GAUGAACGCUGGCGGCGUGCUUAACACAUGCAAGUCGAACGGAAAGGCUCCUGCUUGCAGGGGUACUCGAGUGGCGAACGGGUGAGUAACACGUGGGUGAUCUGCCCUGCACUUCGGGAUAAGCCUGGGAAACUGGGUCUAAUACCGGAUAGGACCACAUUUUGGAUGGUGUGGUGGAAAGUUUUUCGGUGUGGGAUGAGCUCGCGGCCUAUCAGCUUGUUGGUGGGGUAAUGGCCUACCAAGGCGUCGACGGGUAGCCGGCCUGAGAGGGUGUACGGCCACAUUGGGACUGAGAUACGGCCCAGACUCCUACGGGAGGCAGCAGUGGGGAAUAUUGCACAAUGGGCGCAAGCCUGAUGCAGCGACGCCGCGUGGGGGAUGACGGCCUUGGGGUUGUAAACUCCUUUCGCUAGGGACGAAGCGUUUUUGUGACGGUACCUGGAGAAGAAGCACCGGCUAACUACGUG
rnacentral:rRNA from 1 species